rnacentral:rRNA from 1 species
ACUCAAAGGAAUUGACGGGGACCCGCACAAGCAGAGGAUGAUGUGGUUUAAUAUGACGCUACGCGUAGAACCUUACCAAGGCUUGACAUCCUGGGAAUCUUUAAGAAAUUAGAGAGUGCCUUCGGGAGCCUAGUGACAGGUGCUGCAUGGCCGUCGUCAGCUCGUGUCGUGAGAUGUUGGGUUAAGUCCCGCAACGAGCGCAACCCUUAUCGUAUGUUGUAUUUUUCAUGCGAGACUGCCCGGGCCAACCGGGAGGAAGGUGGGGAUGACGUCAGGUCGGCAUGGCCCUUACGCCUUGGGCUACUCACGUCAUACAAUGGCCAGUACAACGCGCAGCGAAACCGCGAGGUGGAGCAAAUCGCAUCAAAACUGGUCUCAGUUCGGAUUGGAGGCUGCAACUCGCCUCCAUGAAGUCGGAUUUGCUAGUAAACGUGGGUCAGCACACCACGUUGAAUACGUUCCCGGGUCUUGUACACACCGCCCGU